AUUUUGCUAUAAAAUAGUGCGAGAUGUGUUGUUCAUUAUCGUCAACCCUGGUGUCUCUACAGUCACGAAUAAAUCGCGUGAUCAUAGUCGUCAACAAUCGAAGAAAUUAUUCAGCUUUCUGUGCUUCAAUUAGAGCUAUACGUGAUACAGCUCAACUAUGAACAAACUCUGUCGGGUGCUGCUGCUUGUUGGCUGCUUUGCUUUGAUGACUUUGCCACAGGUUGUCGUAGGCGACUAUGUGUGUGUUUGCAAAGACACAUGUGAUGACUGUUUCCCAGAGGACCAUGGAAAAUGUCCAGUUGAGGAGGGCGGACAAGGUCGUCAUUGUUGCCUCGAAUUAGGACAGAUCAAUGCGUGAAUGCCUCGAUAUCGUUUUGACGACGUGUGAACGAGUGCAUCAACCUACUUCAUUCCUGCUUGACUGUAUUGUUGAUGUAGAAAUAAAAAAAACGAUUCGU